AAACAACCAGGAUGUCACCCUUCUGGAAGGACAGCUCGUCGUCUUGUUGCCCGAUGAAGGGAAACAGGGCACGCACUUGCUCUGAGAGAGAGACUGCUGUACAGCGCACCAGCCAGCACCAUGAAGUGGCUAAUCACCACAAGAACUGUUUUCUCUAGGGUCCUGACAUUUGUUUUCUUCUUCAGUACUCUCAUCUGAAGGCAGAAUAUAUUUCUUGUUAGAAAGAG